GCUGGGCACGGUGGUGCACGCCUGUAAUCCCAGCAGCUUGGGAGGCAGGAGGCAGGAGGGUCACAAAUUCAAAGCCAGCCUCCACAAUAGUGAGGUUCUAAGCAACUCAGUGAGACCCUGUCUCUA
rnacentral:sRNA from 1 species